rnacentral:rRNA from 1 species
UACGGAGGGUGCAAGCGUUAAUCGGAAUUACUGGGCGUAAGCGUGCGCAGGCGGUGAUGUAAGACAGUUGUGAAAUCCCCGGGCUCAACCUGGGAACUGCAUCUGUGACUGCAUCGCUGGAGUACGGUAGAGGGGGAUGGAAUUCCGCGUGUAGCAGUGAAAUGCGUAGAUAUGCGGAGGAACACCGAUGGCGAAGGCAAUCCCCUGGACCUGUACUGACGCUCAUGCGACGAAAGGCGUGGGGACAAACGAG